rnacentral:lncRNA from 1 species
CUGAUCUCAUGUGCACUUCAGAGCAUCUUUCAAGAGUGCAAACAGUUUUUGAAACUAGAUUUCACUGCUCCCUGUGAGGAGGAAAGCUUAUGGCCAUGACCUCACAAAUUAUAAAUAGAUUUCAAUGGAAGCAGAGGGCUAAGCAUAGAGUUGCCAUCCAAGGUGUAAUUUAAACUUUUGCUGAUGCUGACAGAGGCUGCUUCCACUGGGACUUCUUCGGGUGGCACCAAUUUGUUCAUCCAUAUGGGAACAGCAGGGAAGGAGAGGAAUGCUUCACUGUAACUUAUACAAGGCAAAAUGGAAAGAUGUUUGAGUGCCAUCAUGGGGGUGAAUUUAUUAUAUAUAUAUACACUUAAAAUUUACCUCUUUGUGAAACUGAUGUCAGUGUCAGCUCUUUCAGAUAUGGAGGAAAUUUACACAAAGAAGAUGCUUCCUUCUAUCACAAGUUCACUCUCCAUUCUGGCAACACUGCUUUCACUUGGUGAAAGUAGAUCAGAAUUCACCAUGUUAAUAAAAAAUAUAUUAGAAUCUGAUCCACUAUCUGCACCGAAGAAGCCAACAGGAAUAGCUUGUGUGACAGCAGAUUCUUAAUUAGGCCUCUCAUUAAUUGCUGUAGUUUUGCUGGGGAGCACAAAAUCACAUCACAAAGUCCUCUAGAUAACAAAGCCUUGCAACUCUGUCUGAAGUAGGAAAGGUGAGGUUACAGGAGGACAUGAAGCCAAAGGAGGUCGUGGAAUGAGUCAUUCUCCGUCUCAGAUCUGUGAUAGCGGGGAGAACAGAAAACGUGUGUGAUAUCCGCCAGCUGGAUUCCAUCUGUCUUUUCUCUGCGGAGAUGGAGUUUCAAAGGCUACAUCCUAUCUGCUGUCACACCCUCUCCCGACAUGAGAAGCUAAGUGUAAAGUUUGGCCAAAGUGAUGGAAAAAACAAUAUCUCUUUUGUACAUCACAACUAUUUCCCUACCUACACAAAAGUGGCAUUCUUCUUGUUCUG